UGCAAGUCGAGCGGAGUGAUGGUGCUUGCACUAUCACUUAGCGGCGGACGGGUGAGUAAUGCUUAGGAAUCUGCCUAUUAGUGGGGGACAACAUUUCGAAAGGAAUGCUAAUACCGCAUACGUCCUACGGGAGAAAGCAGGGGAUCUUCGGACCUUGCGCUAAUAGAUGAGCCUAAGUCGGAUUAGCUAGUUGGUGGGGUAAAGGCCUACCAAGGCGACGAUCUGUAGCGGGUCUGAGAGGAUGAUCCGCCACACUGGGACUGAGACACGGCCCAGACUCCUACGGGAGGCAGCAGUGGGGAAUAUUGGACAAUGGGCGCAAGCCUGAUCCAGCCAUGCCGCGUGUGUGAAGAAGGCCUUAUGGUUGUAAAGCACUUUAAGCGAGGAGGAGGCUACUGAAGUUAAUACCUUCAGAUAGUGGACGUUACUCGCAGAAUAAGCACCGGCUAACUCUGUGCCAGCAGCCGCGGUAAUACAGAGGGUGCAAGCGUUAAUCGGAUUUACUGGGCGUAAAGCGCGCGUAGGCGGCUAAUUAAGUCAAAUGUGAAAUCCCCGAGCUUAACUUGGGAAUUGCAUUCGAUACUGGUUAGCUAGAGUGUGGGAGAGGAUGGUAGAAUUCCAGGUGUAGCGGUGAAAUGCGUAGAGAUCUGGAGGAAUACCGAUGGCGAAGGCAGCCAUCUGGCCUAACACUGACGCUGAGGUGCGAAAGCAUGGGGAGCAAACAGGAUUAGAUACCCUGGUAGUCCAUGCCGUAAACGAUGUCUACUAGCCGUUGGGGCCUUUGAGGCUUUAGUGGCGCAGCUAACGCGAUAAGUAGACCGCCUGGGGAGUACGGUCGCAAGACUAAAACUCAAAUGAAUUGACGGGGGCCCGCACAAGCGGUGGAGCAUGUGGUUUAAUUCGAUGCAACGCGAAGAACCUUACCUGGCCUUGACAUAGUAAGAACUUUCCAGAGAUGGAUUGGUGCCUUCGGGAACUUACAUACAGGUGCUGCAUGGCUGUCGUCAGCUCGUGUCGUGAGAUGUUGGGUUAAGUCCCGCAACGAGCGCAACCCUUUUCCUUAUUUGCCAGCGAGUAAUGUCGGGAACUUUAAGGAUACUGCCAGUGACAAACUGGAAGGAAGGCGGGGACGACGUCAAGUCAUCAUGGCCCUUACGGCCAGGGCUACACACGUGCUACAAUGGUCGGUACAAAGGUUGCUACCUAGCGAUAGG
rnacentral:rRNA from 1 species